rnacentral:rRNA from 1 species
GACGUAGGGCGCGAGCGUUGUCCGGAUUUAUUGGGCGUAAAGAGCUCGUAGGCGGCUUGUUGCGUCGACUGUGAAAACCCGCGGCUCGACCGCGUGGCUGGCAGUCGAUACGGGCAGGCUAGAACUCGGUAGGGGAGACUGGAAUUCCUGGUGUAGCGGUGAAAUGCGCAGAUAUCAGGAGGAACACCGAUGGCGAAGGCGGGUCGCUGGGCCGAUAUUGACGCUGAGGAGCGAAAGCGUGGGGAGCAAACAGG